UCUUCUAAUAUGACAUAAACCCUCUCUUCGUGUUCUUCUCAAAGUACCUGAUCGAAUUCACAGCCAAGGCCGUUGAUAACAGUGGUACUAUUGUCGGCAUUAAAUGCAAGGAUGGGAUUGUUGGGCUUGCUGUUCAUUGAACCGAUAUUGCUGCCUGCUACCUUGGAAGGUA